GAACAGCAAAGGUCUGGACACUCACUGUGCAAGCGGCUGAUAUUUUGAGCUGGGCCAGCAAGUUGGGCCAUCUUGGGUAGCCUCUUCCUCCUGGCACGCUUGGCCACCCCGUGGCCCAGGUGCAUGGGGGCCAAGUGGCCCAUCUGGGACAGGACAGGAGGAGGGGGUCAGGUCUGGCUGGCUCAGGCUGCUCGACCUGCUUAGCUCCACGUCCAGACCCAUAGGUCCAACUUCAACCUCCCUCCCCACCUGGGGCAAGCAUCGGGCACCUGGCUCUGCAGAUUCUGGAUUCUCAGGUGCUGCUUCUCCAGGUGCCGCUGCUGCUGGGCCACCUUCUGGAAGAGUUGCUGGAUCCUGCUGUUCUGAGCCUUGAGCUGAGUCUGGGGAGAGUAUAAAACCCUGCUCACUUGCUCCGGGAGAAGCCAGCCACCAUACUGUGAGGACACUCAAGCAGCCCUUUGGAGAGAUCUGCAAGGUGAGGAACUGAGGCCUCCACCCAACAACCAGCAUCAGCUUGUCUGCCACACAAGGGAGCUAUCUUGGAAGCAGAUCCUCCAGCCCCAGUCAAGCUUUCAGAUGAUGUAGCCUCACUUGGCAUCUGUUAGCAACCUCAUGAGACUCCAAGCCAGAACCACCCAGCUAAGCUGCUCCCAAACUCCUGACCCACAGAAAAAAUUUUGAGUAUCAGGAGAUUUCUAAUGAAAAUCCGGAAUUUCUGCUUCUCUUGAAAAACUGGAAGGUCCAACAGGAGUGGUCUGCAGUCCUGCUUGUUUGCAACGGUCCAAAGCUGAAGGGGAGCUGCCCUCUUUGGCCAAGGGAAGCCCUCCCGCCCCAUCACUGCUGUGCGACACAGGCCAUUCCAUGUUCUGUUUUUUUGCAGAUCCUUUAAGCCUCUGAUCAUUGCCUUUGGGCUGGUGUUUUUCUGUUGCCAGUGCCAGCCUCAGACCAGGGCAAGAGGGACCUCUGUUAUGGCACUGCACUUUGGAGGGUGAAUGCCUCCACCAGGCAAGGAGUUGUGGGAGCAAUGGGUAUAUUUACUGGAGCCCAUAGACUUCCUUUUAGACCAUUGAGUUUCCAUUUGGGCUGGUGGAAAAGUUCUGGAACUAGGUAGAAGUUGUACAACAUUGUAUGUGUACUUAAUGCCACUGAAUUGUAUUCAUUAAAAUGGUUAAACUUUU